AACGAACGCUGGCGGCAGGCCUAACACAUGCAAGUCGAGCGGACAUCUUCGGAUGUUAGCGGCGGACGGGUGAGUAACGCGUGGGAACGUGCCCUUUGCUUCGGAAUAGCCUCGGGAAACUGGGAGUAAUACCGGAUGUACCCUUUGGGGGAAAGAUUUAUCGGCAAAGGAUCGGCCCGCGUAGGAUUAGGUAGUUGGUGGGGUAAUGGCCUACCAAGCCGACGAUCCAUAGCUGGUUUGAGAGGAUGAUCAGCCACACUGGGACUGAGACACGGCCCAGACUCCUACGGGAAGCAGCAGUGGGGAAUCUUAGACAAUGGGGGAAACCCUGAUCUAGCCAUGCCGCGUGAGCGAUGAAGGCCUUAGGGUUGUAAAGCUCUUUCACCGGGGAAGAUAAUGACGAUACCCGGAGAAGAAGCCCCGGCUAACUCCGUG
rnacentral:rRNA from 1 species